GAUGAACGCUGGCGGCGUGCUUAACACAUGCAAGUCGAACGAUUAAAGCCCCUUCGGGGGUGUAUAAAGUGGCGAACGGGUGAGUAACACGUGGGCAAUCUGCCCCUCACUUCGGGAUAACUCAGGGAAACUUGAGCUAAUACCGGAUACUCCGAACUGAUCGCAUGGUCGGUUCGGGAAAGCUCCGACGGUGAGGGAUGAGCCCGCGGCCCAUUAGCUUGUUGGUAGGGUAACGGCCUACCAAGGCGACGAUGGGUAGCCGAGCUGAGAGGCUGAUCGGCCACACUGGGACUGAGACACGGCCCAGACCCCUACGGGAGGCAGCAGUGGGGAAUUUUGCGCAAUGGGCGAAAGCCUGACGCAGCAACGCCGCGUGCGGGAUGAAGGCUCUCGGGUCGUAAACCGCUUUCAGCAGGGAUGAAAUUGACAGUACCUGCAGAAGAAGCCCCGGCUAAAUACGUGCCAGCCGCCGCGGUAAGAC
rnacentral:rRNA from 1 species